AUCCAGUUGACGAGUUUCAAAUAGGACAAAACGUGCGUCAAACUAGAU
rfam:Schistosoma rodhaini strain Burundi genome assembly, scaffold: SROB_scaffold0009277